rnacentral:rRNA from 1 species
GAAGGUGUAUCUAGAAAGACAAAUUAGAGCUUGGAAAGUAAAGCAUUUCAUUUACAUUGAAAAGUAUAUUGUGUAAUUCAAUUUAAUUUGAUAAUAAUAAAAAUUUAUUAAUUUUUUUUGUUUAAAAAUUUAUUUAAUAAAAUUAAUUUUAGAUUGAUUUUUUUUGUAUAGUAUAUAGGUCAAAUAAUUUAUAUAAUAGUUAAUUAGUAUUGUAAAAGAAUAUUGAAAUAUAUGAAAAAGUUUUAAAUUAAAAGUAAAUUUUAUAUAUUGUACCUUGUGUAUCAGGGUUUAUUAAUUAAAAGUUAAAAAUUAAAUUUUUCUCGAAUUUAAGAGGGUUAAUUUAUUAUUUAAUUUUUUGUUUCAUAAAAAUUUAAAAUAAUAAAUUAGAAAUGAAACGUUAUUCGUUCUUAAAUAUAUCUAGUUUUUUAAGAAAUAAAUUAAAUUUAGAUUAUUAAUAGAUAAUUAGUUAUUUAAAUAAUAAAUUAUUAUUAAUAGUUAAUAUUUUAGGGGAUAAGCUUUAAAGUAAAUUUUAUAAUAAUUUUUUAAUUUGAAAAUUAUAGAUUUAGAAAUAGUCAUUAAUUGUAAAAAUGUUAUAAUUUAUUUUAAAUUAAAAAUAAUUUUUAUUAAUUUAAGUUUUUAUUAAAAUAAUUUUUAAAAUUAUAUAAGAAUUAAAAUAAUGAUAAAAUUAGUAUAUUUAAUUGUUUUAAAAAUAUUAAUUGAAAGGUUAAAUUAAGGAACUUGGCAAAUAAAUACUCGCCUGUUUAACAAAAACAUGUCUUUUUGAAUAUAAUUUAAAGUCUAAUCUGCCCACUGAAAAAUUUUAAAGGGCCGCGGUAUU